rnacentral:rRNA from 1 species
CAAGACAACUUUACGGAGUUGACGAUUGACGGAGCGAAGCGACGUCAAAGCGUUCAUUAAAGUCGAGUUGGCUUAGGGAUACGUUCGUUGGGUAGGGGAGCGUUCUGUAAGCCUGUGAAGGUGUGUCGUGAGGCAUGCUGGAGGUAUCAGAAGUGCGAAUGCUGACAUAAGUAACGAUAAAGCGGGUGAAAAGCCCGCUCGCCGGAAGACCAAGGGUUCCUGUCCAACGUUAAUCGGGGCAGGGUGAGUCGACCCCUAAGGCGAGGCCGAAAGGCGUAGUCGAUGGGAAACGGGUUAAUAUUCCCGUACUUGGUGUUACUGCGAAGGGGGGACGGAGAAGGCUAUGUUGGCCGGGCGACGGUUGUCCCGGUUUAAGCGUGUAGGUGUGUGUUCCAGGUAAAUCCGGUUCACUUUAACACUGAGGCGUGACGACGAGGCACUACGGUGCUGAAGCAACAAAUGCCCUGCUUCCAGGAAAAGCCUCUAAGCAUCAGGUAACACGAAAUCGUACCCCAAACCGACACAGGUGGUCAGGUAGAGAAUACCAAGGCGCUUGAGAGAACUCGGGUGAAGGAACUAGGCAAAAUGGUGCCGUAACUUCGGGAGAAGGCACGCUGACACGUAGGUGAAGUGAUUUACUCAUGGAGCUGAAGUCAGUCGAAGAUACCAGCUGGCUGCAACUGUUUAUUAAAAACACAGCACUGUGCAAACACGAAAGUGGACGUAUACGGUGUGACGCCUGCCCGGUGCCGGAAGGUUAAUUGAUGGGGUCAGCGCAAGCGAAGCUCCUGAUCGAAGCCCCGGUAAACGGCGGCCGUAACUAUAACGGUCCUAAGGUAGCGAAAUUCCUUGUCGGGUAAGUUCCGACCUGCACGAAUGGCGUAAUGAUGGCCAGGCUGUCUCCACCCGAGACUCAGUGAAAUUGAACUCGCUGUGAAGAUGCAGUGUACCCGCGGCAAGACGGAAAGACCCCGUGAACCUUUACUAUAGCUUGACACUGAACAUUGAGCCUUGAUGUGUAGGAUAGGUGGGAGGCUUUGAAGUGUGGACGCCAGUCUGCAUGGAGCCGACCUUGAAAUACCACCCUUUAAUGUUUGAUGUUCUAACGUGGACCCGUAAUCCGGGUUGCGGACAGUGUCUGGUGGGUAGUUUGACUGGGGCGGUCUCCUCCUAAAGAGUAACGGAGGAGCACGAAGGUUGGCUAAUCCUGGUCGGACAUCAGGAGGUUAGUGCAAUGGCAUAAGCCAGCUUGACUGCGAGCGUGACGGCGCGAGCAGGUGCGAAAGCAGGUCAUAGUGAUCCGGUGGUUCUGAAUGGAAGGGCCAUCGCUCAACGGAUAAAAGGUACUCCGGGGAUAACAGGCUGAUACCGCCCAAGAGUUCAUAUCGACGGCGGUGUUUGGCACCUCGAUGUCGGCUCAUCACAUCCUGGGGCUGAAGUAGGUCCCAAGGGUAUGGCUGUUCGCCAUUUAAAGUGGUACGCGAGCUGGGUUUAGAACGUCGUGAGACAGUUCGGUCCCUAUCUGCCGUGGGCGCUGGAGAACUGAGGGGGGCUGCUCCUAGUACGAGAGGACCGGAGUGGACGCAUCACUGGUGUUCGGGUUGUCAUGCCAAUGGCACUGCCCGGUAGCUAAAUGCGGAAGAGAUAAGUGCUGAAAGCAUCUAAGCACGAAACUUGCCCCGAGAUGAGUUCUCCCUGAGACUUAGAGUCUCCUGAAGGAACGUUGAAGACGACGACGUUGAUAGGCCGGGUGUGUAAGCGCAGCGAUGCGUUGAGCUAACCGGUACUAAUGAACCGUGAGGCUUAACCUU